UAUAAUUCUAAGUCAUAUUUGAAGUGAACUGUAACCAAUGGGUCCAGAAACAGCUCCUGAGCUUUGCCAGAAUGCACAGAUUGAGUCCUUAGAGCAACUAAGCCAUACUCUUCAGAUGUGGCUUCAACUCUUUUAAGUUCCUGGAAUAGGGGACUCCUAUCCCCAUUAGUGGAGAGAAGAGUGCAAAGCAGGAUAGGAAGAUCAGAGCCAGCACACUUACAGAAAAUCUGGCUGCAAGAGGUAGCAAGUCCAGGAUGAAAAGGCAGCGCAUUUUCAGUGCUGAAGCCUUUCUUGCACAGGUAACCAGGGAUGACAGUGCACAUCCACUGAUGAAAUCUUAUCCCAAGGCAGUGAGGAUGCAGACUUUGUUACAGAUAUGGAAGAUUGUUCAGAGCAAGAAGACCAUGUGUCUAUGGAAGCUUCAUCUAGCUCAGAUGAGGAGUUGGUGCUACAAGCAGAAGUGAUGCGAACACUUCCAGAGGGAAAGGGAAGAGGACCAGCCUGGGGCUGCUGUGGAAGACUGAGGAUAGCUACAGCAGGACAUGGAGCAGAACCAUUGCUAUCACCCCCAGAAAAUGUUGUAGAUGAUGACACCAGGAAGGAAUGGCAGUGUGUGGGGAAAAAAAGUCAACAGCUAAUACAAAAUUGGAAAACAGCCAAGGACAUAGUCUAUGAAAGUUCUGGCCCAACAAGAGAAAGCAUUAAAGACACAGUGGUGGAAACAUUCCACCUCUUUCUUUCACAAGGUAUUCUGACUAUUAUCAUAAGAUAAACAGAGAGGCAGAGAGAAGAUUCAGGGAGUGGAAUGAUAGCCAUCCUAAAAAUAGAAAGGAGUGGAAAAAGCUGCAUAAAACAGAGCUGGAAGCCUACAUUGGCCUUCUACUGCAGAGUGAUCUAUACCAGAGUGUUCACAAGGCACUGGAGGGGUUGUGGGAGCAACGUACCGGGCAUCCUUACUUCUAUGCCACCAUGAGUUUAAAACAAUUCCGUCAAAUCACCAACUACCUGAGAUUUGACAACAAACUGACACAAGAGGAAAGGAGAGCUGUGGACAAGCUUGAUACCUUCAGAGAUAUUUGGAUACAAUUCGUGGAACAGCUCAAGAAGUGGUAUAUUCCAGGAGUACAACUGAUGGUUGAUGAGCAGCUUAUUAUGUUCAGGGGUCAUGUCCCUUGAGACAGUAAAUGCUCAGCAAGCCUGCCAAAGAUGGCUUGAAAAUGUGGUGGUGCUGUGAUGCAGCAGCAUC